rnacentral:lncRNA from 1 species
CGUUAUUUAAAAUAUUACCAGAUGUUAGAUAAUUUCUUUAAAAAAAAGAUAUAUAUGUCACAUCAAAAAAUCUAAUUUGAAAUAUGUAUUAAUAUAUUUGAGUGGUUUUUCCCUCUCUCCGCUUAAUUGUUUCCUGAAGGUGGCUCCAAUCCGUCCUCCCAUUUCCCUCGUGCGCCGUCACUUCUCUGCAGUCUGACAGGAGCAGCAGCCGCGUGUGAUGACAGAACAAGCUGUGUUGAGGAAGGAAAAGAAAAAGCAUUUAGAACCGCUUCCAUAGUGACGUGCGUGGGGCGUGCAUUUGGCAUUAGUGGCUGACGCAAAGAAGGAGAAAAGCUGAGCAGCCCUAAGACCACCACACUCAACUUCUCCACCCUAAAACAUUUUUGUGCGGACCAAACGCAGAGCUGUCUGUCAGUCACUCAUGGGGAACUUUUGCCUUUUUCUUGGGAUGUUUCUGGUGUCAGUCGUCUCGGGUAAUACUGCUGAACAAGUCUCAGGCUUUACAGGAGGUAGUGUGGUUUUGCCAUGCUCCUGUGAGAACAGAGACAAAUCAGGUUUUUCCUGGCAGAAGAUCCAUACCCAGAAACCUUUGAAGGUCUUCAGUUUAGAAGGCCAUAACAAAUCAUAUGGGAAAGAAUUUGAAGGAAGGAUGGAACAUUUUGAUUCAGAUAUUUCAAAUAACUGUUCCAUUCUCCUGAAAAAUAUCAAUGGGGGGGAUCAUGGUAUUUACAGGUGUUAUUAUAGGACAAUAGAAAACCUCCAAUAUUGGGAUGUAGACCUGAACGUCUCUGGUAAGUAG